rnacentral:misc_RNA from 1 species
GAUGAAGAACGUAGCGAAAUGCGAUAAGUAAUGUGAAUUGCAGAAUUCAGUGAAUCAUCGAAUCUUUGAACGCACAUUGCGCCCGCCAGUAUUCUGGCGGGCAUGCCUGUCCGAGCGUCAUUUCAACCAUCAAGCCCCGGGCUUGUGUUGGGGACCUGCGUCCGACGCAGGCCCCGAAAACCAGUGGCGGGCUCGCUGUCCACACCGAGCGUAGUAGCUAACCUCGCUCCGGAGUGGCGCGGGCGCCUGCCGUAAAACCCCCCAAUUUUACAAGGUUGACCUCGGAUCAGGUAGGAAUACCCACUGAACUUAAGCAUAUCAAUAAGCGGAGGA